CCUAAUAUUCUCUUAUUUGAUAGAACCUUGGCGAUUAGAGAGGCGAGUGAUGACGAUCGUGUUGAUUCUCCCACUAAUAGCGUCCUUAUGUUAAUCAUCUUGCGUUGGAGUCUUGGAGAGCUCAUCGGAGUUGUGUACCACGAGAAGGAGCCAGACCUUUCCCAAUGGAGCUAUGUAUAUCUCAGUGGAGCUAUUCCCGAUGUGGCCAAGUUUUCGAUGAAGUCUUUGAUAAAGAAGCAUUAUAUGAGAAGCACCGAAAGUACUCGUGGGACGAUUUGAAACUGUUUGAAUAAUUAUGUUCCCAGUGUAGAGAACGCUCUCACAAGUUUUCUUUUUGACUUCUCUUCUGUCUUUUUGUCCUCUCGUGACUAAGGAAAAGAAUAUAUUAGUAGUGGCAUCAUGGUGGACAGUUAAGCUGUACCUUCACCUGUUAGCAAAUGGUAAGCACACCACUGUAUCUGUUUCGGAGGAGGUCUCCGGAUAUAUUCGUUUGGAAACAAUUCCCAAGCCGAAGCAUUCUGAUACUGUCAUCUAAUACUAAUGGCGUGUACUCAGAUCCAAUUGAUCCUAAGGAGCUUCUAAGACACUGUAGAAGAGAUUAGACUCUGGAGAUUUUUCCAUUUUAGAACAAUUUGAGGUACUUCUUUUACUUCGACUCCUCCAAGCUUCUUAGCUCUGAAAUUUCUGUGCAAGUCUUAUCCUUGAUGGUUUUGAUGUUUUUGAGUUUGCACCUCUUUUGCU